CCCUCCUCUUCUCUGUUCAUGUAAUUUGAUCGAUUGAUUGUUAUAUUUUCUUGGAUUUUGAUUAUAUUUGAUUGAGUGAUUGUUAUAUUUUCUCGGAAUUUGAACGAGUUAUUGUGAACAUUAGGUUUUGAUACGGAGUAUUUUUAUUGUUGGGUUGAUUGUUUUGUUUUGUUUUGUGUUUUUUUGUUUUGUUGCAAGCAGAGAAAUUGAGCAUUGAAGUUAACUUGGUAGUUUAGUCUGAGGUUAAUUAACCCUACGGCGAUGGUUAUUUCUGUAUCCAAAGCACCUUAUUAAUUGGUUAUUUGUUUAUUUGAUUUAUGAUGAAUGAAGUGUGUGAACUUUGAGUUUGAUGUAACAUUGUUGCAAUGGCGAUUCAAUACCGGAAAAAAAAUCUAUGAGUUUUAUCGAAUUUGCUUCACUCGAGCAGUCGAUCUUGCCUUGUUCUUCUAAAUUGCUCAUGUCUAUAAUUGCUUGUUGGAGUGUGGGUUCUAUGGGGGGAAAAUUAUUUUGACCGUGUUUUUCUAAGUUGCUCAUAGGGGCCUGCUUGAAGGUGAAGCCAAUCAAGCCAUCUUUAUUUACAGUAUAGUAGUAGACUUUAAAAAGUUUAUAGAAUACGUUUGUAGAUGAGUUGAGUUUUGGGGGUUUAUACAAUUUUGUAUCUGCUAAUUGGUUUAGCUGGGUUGGAAGUCUUUGCACUCGGGUGAUAGUGUGAUACGUAUUUCCCUAUUGGGUGAUGGGAUGGGGGAGACGAGAUCACAAGAGUGUAAGUUGCUGAAUAAAAUGACAUUCAUAUAUAUUCGUCAGUCUUUCCGAAAGGAUAUGAAGUCUUGUUCCAAUUGCUUACUCUAACAGAGGUUUAGUUUUUCUAGUUUUGUAUUUGUGUUAGUUGGUUCAUUACUGUUUCUUACGACAGACUUACUGAAAGGGUGUGAAGUCUGUUUCUUACUACUGAAUAACUCGUGUGCAGCUGAACAAAUUGAUUAAGGAAUAAUAUUAAAUAAAUAAAAGUUAGAAAUUAACAGGGAUUGUGGCCACAGGGAUCUUGCAGCUUUCUAUGAGUUUCUGGAUGUGUGUGCUUAAUUUCUCUUGGAUGUUUAUAGGCAUAGUUUUCUCCAUGUGUUGUGUUGGGCCAAAGUUCAGUGCUUUCAAGGAAUUUGUUUUAGUGAUUAUAUUUGCAGAUGGUCUAUUUGAUCUCUAAAUGAGUAAUAUAAGGUUGGGUAUUGAUCAUCAUAGGUUUUCUUAGCUUUGGACUGGAAAUUUACUGCAGCUCUUGCUGAUGCUGUCUGGUCUUAAUUAAAAUUGCUGAUCUUGUAAGAUGGACUUCAAAUUAUCGAGAAAGGUUAUUUUUUACAGGUCAUAAUCUAAAUCUUUAGAGGUCCAUCUUUUUGUUUGGAGUACUGUGAAGUCAUUUACUCAUUAGGUUUAAGAGGGUUACACAGCUUUGUGUCCAUCGAGUUUGGCAUCUUCUAGUUGUAGGAAAAUUGUCAAAUGACUCAAAUCCUAUUUCUUAGUUGUAUUUGCAUCGUGCUGUUACUCAUCCAUUCAACUGAAAGACUUGCAUCCCUUGCUGCUUUCUCUAUCUUUUCUAUAGUUUCAGUGAUUGUGUAUUUUGAUCCCAGCAUUAUCAUGUUGUUCUUGUUGUCCUGUUUUUCAAGAUACCAAUUAAUCUAAUGAGUGCAGUUCUUAUUAGUAAAAUUUACUACUUUAUUUGAGAAAAUCACUAGAGAAUCCUCAUUAAUUAGAUUUAAGGGGCAAAAUAUAUUUUGGUUUCAUGUUUGUAGACUUGCCUGCUCUUCAAAUAGGGUUGACAAAUCAAGGUCUCUAGAUAUUGCGACCAGUUGGAAGGCAUUGAUAAAUCCUUGAGUUUCAGGGACAAUUUCUUCUUCUGAACUUUCCUAAAAAAAGGCUUGGCAAUUAGUUAGCAUGUUCAUCUUUGAACAGCACGUGUUUCUUGUAUAGGUUUAGUCAUUACCUUUUCAGGCUCAAAAACUGCUCGAACGUCAUCUGUGUAGCUCUUUCUUUGAAAGUAAAUUCCUGCAGCAGGCUUAUAAUCUCUCUGAAACCACUCAUCUUCAACAAAUUCUGCUACUGUAAUUCUCUGCAGAAAACAGAAGUCGAGGAUGGUUAGAUCAAUCUGUUGUUUUUAAGUGAUCCUAUACUUUUAUAUGAAUUUAAAUCGUAUACCUUUUUUGAAUGGGGAUUCAAUAAUCUGCCAAUAAGUAGAUGAAGAGUUCUUUUGUAUGAUAAAAAGUGUUUUACUGUUUAUUUUGUUAGGGAAAAUACCUUUGUGUACAAAUUCAAUAGAUUUGGGUCAAUGAAUGGUAGUUAACCAGCACACAACUCAAAUAAGAUCACUCCACAAGCCCAGACAUCUGCAACUACUCCGUCGUGCUACAUAACUUGGAGAACCACAUGCUGUCAACAACAAACUUCCAGGUUGUAGGCAUCAGUUCAGAAAUUACAGGUUUUCUGGCUGCAUUGUAAAUGAAACAUGUCAAUUGGGUCAGUCAGCUGGUUUGAGUUCUUAUUUGGAUCGGGCAAUCUAGUGGAGUUCAGAGUUCAGUAUAGUUACAUCUUUCAGCUAUUUACAAUACCUUUAAAUCGAUGUGAUACACUCCUCUGGAAUGGCAGUAGUCUACUGCCGGAAGUAUUUUGUUGCAUCACUUUACUUCUCCAAGUAAGUCUUUACAUUCGAGUAUAGAGUCACAUAAACUAGAACCUUCGAACUUCCAAGAAACAAUAUAUGAUCAAGUUAUAGUUAUCUAGUGUUCUUACCAAUUUGUCAGAGAGUUGCGGUCCUACUGCAUAUUCCAUGACUAUGUAAAUCUUUGUGUUUGAGCCGAUAACCUAUAAGUUGGCAAGUUAAAGACUUCAUUCUUUCACCUAAAAACAUACAGACCAAGUUUGUGUACUGAAAUAAGAGCACUUGCCUCGUGUAUCCUUACAUUGUCCAGAUGAUUCAACAACUUCAUCUUUCUGAUUUCUCUCUGCACCUGUUCUAGCAAACAUAUAUAUAUUAUGGUGAACUACCUAAGUAUGACGUGAUUUUCAAAAGGUAACUAACGCAUCAUAUUCACGUUCCUUUUGAAAAUAUCUUAGUUGGCUGGAAUCUAGUCAUGUGAAUUGCAGCACAAAGAGAUUUCCUAGGAAUAGGAAUCUUAACUUAUAAAGUUAGAGAUGUUAAAGACUGGACAUGGUAUCUAAACAUAUAGCGGAACAGUUUCUCAUUAGUUCACUUUGUGUCAUUUGUUUCUUGUUAUAUUUUAGAAUACAGUCAAGACGUGGUUGGAUUUUCCAUAUUGUAUACAGGUCCUCCCUUGUCGAGUUGUCUGUACCCAGGUAAGGCCUUUGGUAUUUGUUGUGCGAUAUAUGGAGUAGUUUGAAUGAAACUGUUGUCUGGUUCCAGAGGUAUAUGUGGUUAAGUGUUCGUUAAUUGUUGGUAUUUCUUUUAUUAUAUGUGGUUAAGUGUCCUCGUUCUCAACAAGUUGGGCUAGUUGAGUCCUGCUAUUAUGUCAUGAAGUAUAUGGAUCAAAUAGUAACGCUUGUAUCGAAAAAGGAACGUGAUUUUCAAAAGGUAAUUAACGUAUCAAAUUUUUUUAUCUUUAAAUUUGCACUUGCUUAAUUGUUUGAGUGUACUUGCAUCGAUUCUAAUAUAUCUAUGCAUUUGGUUUUGUGCAUGUAGCAUUUCACUCUGGAGGCUAUACUCAAGAAAUUAUCGAUGAUGUUCGUGAAAGAUCGUGUAGAUUUUUCAUUGAUAAUUGUUUAUAGUUAAUUAAUUUCAGUUUCACACUUAGUUGACAUAAACUUCUCAAAUUCGUGUCCAGGAUUUUCUAAUAUGUAAAAAUACAAAAGUAUUAUGUAUAACUUUUAUCAAUUUUUGAGGCGACACCUUAGAGUCC